AAACACCCAGCAACCAAACUUAAACAGAUGUAUGUGUUAUAGUUUUAGGUCUAGUUUUAGUUUUGUUUUUAUCUCAUGUCAUGUGUUUUUAGCAGCUCUUUUCCUCAGCCUUGUCAUAUCCCUGCUCCCCCUCCCUUCACAGAUCCUCGGGUAAUCAGCUCAUACAACUCACCUGUGUCCCUCUGUAUUUAAACCAGCAGUUUCCCUCAGCACUCUGCCAGUUUAUCAUCAGCCAGUCUAUGAUUCACCAGCAUUCUUGUCCUGUUCUGAUCUCGGCUCCUUGACCACCUUCUCGUCCCUUGGAUUACCGCCUCUUGCCUCAGCCCGUGUCGGAUACCUUCUGCCUUCUGCUCUUCUGGUAAUGACCCUGUUUCUGGUUCUCGGACUCCUGCCCCUUGUCUCUCCCUUGCUCGGCACCACGACACCUCAGACUUCCUGGUUCUCGACCCCUGCCUGCCUCCUGGAUUCAAGAGUUAAGUUUGCUCCUCUUAACCUGUUGUAUACUCUGAUUCCUCUGGGUAUGACCCUCGUCUGUCCCUGGACCCCGGACCCGUUUCUCGGACCUGCAACGCUCCCAAGGAUUGUCGGUGAUGUCAUCGUGUUUCUCUAGAACCAAACUGACACAGUCGGUGUUUCCACACGGAGGCUCCCAGUUGACACCAGAAAACCGGACCCACGCACCUGGGUUGUUCCAGCUCCACACCAGCAAUUUUAAUAAAAUUUGUAAACCUUUA